rnacentral:rRNA from 1 species
GAUGAACGCUGGCGGCGUGCCUAAUACAUGCAAGUCGAGCGAACAGACGAGGAGCUUGCUCCUUUGACGUUAGCGGCGGACGGGUGAGUAACACGUAGGUAACCUACCUAUAAGACUGGGAUAACUUCGGGAAACCGGAGCUAAUACCGGAUAAUAUUUCGAACCGCAUGGUUCGAUAGUGAAAGAUGGCUUUGCUAUCACUUAUAGAUGGACCUGCGCCGUAUUAGCUAGUUGGUAAGGUAACGGCUUACCAAGGCAACGAUACGUAGCCGACCUGAGAGGGUGAUCGGCCACACUGGAACUGAGACACGGUCCAGACUCCUACGGGAGGCAGCAGUAGGGAAUCUUCCGCAAUGGGCGAAAGCCUGACGGAGCAACGCCGCGUGUGUGAUGAAGGUCUUCGGAUCGUAAAACUCUGUUAUUAGGGAAGAACAAACGUGUAAGUAACGGUGCACGUCUUGACGGUACCUAAUCAGAAAGCCACGGCUAACUACGU